GACGAACGCUGGCGGCGUGCUUAACACAUGCAAGUCGAACGGAAAGGCCCGGCGUUUGUGGGGUGCUCGAGAGGCGAACGGGUGAGUAAAACGUGAGUAACCUGCACUUGUCUGUGGGAUAACUUCAGGAAACAGGGGCGAAUACCGGAUAGGAGAUCCUGCUGCACGGGGGGGGAUGGAGAGAGUCGGCGGUGGGGGAUGGACUCGCGGGUUAUCAGCUGGUUGGUGGAGUAGGUAAUGACAAAGGGUUUGAGGGGUAGGCGGCCUGGGAGGGUGACCGGCGACAUGGGGACUGAGAUACGGCGCAGACUCCUACGGGAGGCAGCAGUGGGAAAUAUUACACAAUGGGCGGGAGCCUGAUGCAGCAGCGCCGCGUGCGGGAUGACGGCCUUCGGGUUGUAAACCGAUUUCGCCUGUGACGAAGCGUGAGUGACGGUAAUGGGUAAAGAAGCACCGGCUAACUACGUG
rnacentral:rRNA from 1 species